GACGGGGGAUGCUAGAGAUAUCCGGAAUCACUGGGCGUAAAGCGUCUGUAGGUGGUGAUGCAAGUCACUGGUGCAAAACUCUGGCUCAACCGGAGGAAAGCCAGUGAAACUGCAUGACUAGAGUGUGGGAGAGGUAGAAGGAAUUCCCUGAGUAGCGGUGAAAUGCGUAGAUACAGGGAAGAACACCGGAGGCGAAAGCGUUCUACUGGAACACAACUGACACUGAGAGACGAAAGCUAGGGGAGCGAAUGGG
rnacentral:rRNA from 1 species